UACUUAGAAAGGUGCAGAUUGCU
rnacentral:miRNA from 1 species